UCCCGCCAAAUGAGUGGAAAAACCCACUUAUGCCCUCCUCCUCCUCCCCUAGCAGGACAUCACUCGUCAGUCGACUCUCCCCAUUUCUUCUUUUGCAGAAACGCAGAGAGAGAGAGAGAGAGUGUGAGAGAUGUCAGGGUGGGACGAGGGGGUAGUGUACUACAGCGACCAGGCUCACUUGUGGCGUAGCGGCGGUGAAAGUUUUGGGAAGCUUGCGGUCGAAAGUGGCUGGAGAGACUGGAGAAAUGGAAGAUCCGGUGACCGGGGGCGUUCAGGUCUUGCUUACAUCAAAGGAGGAUCCAGUCUCAAUGAGGUUUCUUGGGGCUCAAUAUAUAUCGAAACUUGUUAAAAUAGCUGGGAUCGCUAUAGCUGCAUCUAGGACUAAGGCAAAGGCGACAUAUGUGACUCUCAUAUGCAAGAACUGUAGAAAUUCAAAGCAAGUUCCUUGUCGGCCUGGGUGGUGCAAUUGUCCCUCGCUCUUGCGAUCUUAUCCCUCAGGGUUAUUUCACACCACUUUUUACAAUUUCUCACAUUUGUGUGGUUUUGAGCUUAUUUGAUGCGAGUUAUGGGGGUUAUUUGUAGCCGGGAGAAGAGCCAUGCCCACUUGAUCCAUGGCUUGUGGUUCCAGAUAAGAGCAAGUAUGUCGAUCAACAAACCUUGAAACUGCAGGAGAAUCCAGAGGAUGUUCCAACUGAGGAGCUUCUGAUGAACUUUUUUUCUCUCUUUUUUCGAUUGUUUCGUAUGGGACAUAGGGAAAGAUGACUCCAUUCAUGUCCAGCACCGUUCCAUAUAUAUGCUUUGUAAAAUAAUGUGUCUUGAGGUUGUUAAUUGUACGUUAAAUUUUAAAAUUAUUUUUAUUAUAAAAUAAAUCUAGUGUCUCAUCUUAAGCCA